ACCUGUCCCUCCCAAACACGUACUCUCUCCCGACUCGACCCCAUCGGCCUCAUCCCCACUCAAUCUCCGCCUCGAUCCACCGCCCUCUUCUCGAAGCUUCUCAAGCCUCUCCGAAGACUUCACCAGUCCGGUCGUCUGCCGGCACUGCAGGGAUGAUCGACAGGUCCUGCGUCACCGAGGGUUUCGCCAGUCCCGGCGUCCACCGUCAUGGCCACGGCCACGGCCACCGACCAAUGCGUCACGAGGCCGUGGAGGAUUAGCGCCGGGGGCGUCACCUCGCGUAGGUGGGAGCCAGGCCGAUGGGUGCCUAUGUCGGCGGGAGGAGGCGCUGGGAAUCCAUGCCGCUGGCAGGAGUGCCCCCGAGAGAUGGUGCUGGGAGACCCGCUGAGUGGGGCCAACUCGCUGCUGUUCUACGGCGGACCAGCCGACGAGAUCCAACAGCAGAAAACCGCUCUGACAACGAGGCCCUUCCGAUCCAUUCUCCCCACAGCCCAUCCAUACUUCCAAAUUCCUACUCACGACAUAACAGCAAGAUGGCGUUCUACAUAGAAUCGGGUUAAUUGUAUAUUGCGUCAUGCAUCAAAGAAGAGGUGUUUUUACUGGCUUGCUAUAAAUUUUGCUCAUACGGAUAUGCUCCAUAUUUAACGAGAUACAUCUCUUCUACAGAAGACACCAAUUCCUGGUCUUAUUCUAAUUUUAUCGAGAAGUUUCUCUUCUUUAUUUACCUGUUUUUCUGCACAUUGAACUCAUGGCAACUUUGUGGCCAGGUUCCGAUGCUUCUAGGCAUGAAUCAUGAAGGGAUCAAUUUGUAAGGAGUGGUGAGCCAUGCUCGCCUUCUGUACCGCUGGCUGAUACGCUGCAGUCACCUUCCACGGCUCUGCUGCUACCCAUAGGAUUGCCUCAAGGGUCUGCUCCUGCGCGUCGAGCUUGGCCACGGACGAAGACUACAAAGGUGAUGACGCCGUUGAUUGGAUCAGUAAGCUGCCCCUCUCCCUCUCAGAAACUGCUUGGUGAGCUAGCUCUCCCCAAGAUGCCUAAUAUCCACACAAAAAAAGGCAACGUCCACAUGAUUAUAUGGUGAGCUAGCUGUCCACUAAUGUUGCUUUCCGACCUUUGUAGGAAAAAAUUAGAUUGGUAUGGAUUUAGAUGGUCCUCUUAGAUAUGGGCUUACAUGUUUUCUUAGACGUGGAUUUAGGUGGCCACAACAUCAUGAAGGUUAUCAUGUGAUAAGUACUGUAUCAGGCAGUUCUGAACAUCACUGGUUUCCAAAACAUGCCAUGGUAAGAUAUUGAUCCAAUACAAUGUAUUAUAUAUGCAGCAAAACUACCAUUGUGCCUCGGGUGAGCACCCAUCCAGUUCAUUGGCAUGAUAGUUGACCGGUUCCCAGCACCAACAAAGAUGGAACUGUGAGCUAAUCGAUGUCAGGUUUAGGAUGCAGUGAUAAUAAUGAGGUCACUAUGAAUGCAUGGUUAGUUUAAAAUAAUAAAGAAGCAGCUCUAUUUGAUAGGUAAGCGAUGGUUUCGUUCUGUUGCAGGGUGACAGUAGCGUCGCUGAUGUAAAUGCAAAUCCCCCAAGGAACUGUGUUCCCAGAUGAGUACUGAUCAUCAUGCUGAGUAUGCCUGCAGGCAUGUACAAAGAAACACGGUACCUCACAACCCUGACGUUUAGCUUGCCAUCGCCAAAGAGAGGUGAGUCGAGAGUGUGCCCAGCUGAUUGUGGAUGACAGGAAUUCUCAGGAAGACAUCUCCGGACUUUUCCCCAGGAGAAGGGAAGAAGCUGGAUAAGCAUGAUAUGAUGUAGAACAAGAUGGUGGGAAAGGUCAGAGGAUGGCCAGGGUCUGAGGAUGGCCGGUGCUUGCAAGGAUUCUCACAAUUCUCUGUUGGAUGUUAAGAGUAGUUGCGGAUUCCUGCGGAUGAACUAUGCAAGCUUUGGAUAUGCUGUAGUGUUCCCCUCCUCUUGGUUGGCUUUUGAGUUUUCGUCUUAGAAAUUGUAACUGGAUGGUGAAUAGGACCUAUUUUGAUUGCAAGUCAAUGGAAUUAGGGGCAAACCCUUUUCUCUAAGUAAA